UCUCCCACAGGAACGUUGGCGGCUCUGAGCUUCAUGAAUCUGUGACUGUGCCUGGCUUCUGAUUAUCAUCUAUUAUUUUCUCUUUGUUCCUGUAUUGGGUCUUGCCCUUGCCUGUCUGCUGGUUCCUGCCCUGGCUUGUAGUUUUGAGUUUUGACUCUCAGUUCCUGUUUUGGAUCCUGGUAAAAUCUUUUCCUAGCACCUGACCUAGAACCUGCCACAGUCUGGAACUGCUUACCUUCUGAUUUCUAUCACAGGGUUUGAUUAUUGUUCCUGAUUCCAGCCCCUUGGGUUGACUCCUGACUUUGUGGGCCCUCCUUUCCAGAACCAGAAGUUCACCAGUGAGGCUGCUAUAGGUUUGUCUCCAGCAAGCAGGUGAAAGAUGAGCGCAGACCAGUAACUCUAGAAAACUUCCAGGACCCAAAUACACCAGUAGUGAGCAGGGAAGAAUGUGAGAAAAGUGAUCGUAUAAGAAGACAUAAUUUUUUCUCAGUCCUAUACCUGAUAGCAUUGAAGGAAGCAAGAGCUCCACUUGUAACACUGCCACUGGGGACAUGUAGGCUACAGAGGCAAGCUGCUGCCGAUGCAUGCACAGACAGGAAUGUGAAUGCCUGCAGGACUGCAGUCAUUGGCUCUGUGAGAUGGUGAGACAGAUCAUCUGGCUACAGGCAAAUUCAUGGCUGUUCAGUGCGACAGAAAUCACUCCAAAUCCAGGAGGCAUUUCCAGACCCAGGAGGACUGGUGAAUAAUGGCUGGGUUCCUUGCAACAAUUCUAUGCCUGCUGGUCAUCAGCCCCGUUCCUGCCUGAGAGCAGGACAGUAGGGGCCAAGCUCUGCCAUCCACCAGUUUGCAGUCAAGGUCAGAAAGUCCACCUUAGAGCCAAGGUUUUUUAAUUACAAAUGAUUAUUGCUUAGACUGAUUUUUUUUCCACAAAUCAGGCAUUGUUAUGGUAGCAAAAAUAAAUUUCUCUGUUGUAGUAAUUAUGCAUUGUUAUCUUUAUAAAAGCGGUUCUGUGGUUUGUUUAAUUAAGGUUAACAUUUGGUUUGUAAGUAAAGGUUUCUAUUUCCUUUGUUCAAUUCUUCACUUCAUGUUCCCUGUGUAUAAGAGGGGAAGUGUAGAAGGAUGGGGGGAAGGGGGUUGCUGGCUUGUAGGAUGAGGGGCUUGCAUGAGCUCAUGAUGGGCAUGCCUGUCUCUCAAUAGUGGCAAUUAGCAGUUAGUCAAGCCUCCCUGCCUGGUUUUGAAUAUGCUUUAUUCUCUUCCACUGCCAGUCACCAGCUGAACUCCUGAACCCCGAGAAGCUGCAUGCACUCAGAGGAAAUACUGUGUACUAUGCAGCAUCAACCCAAUUACUGUUCCCCACAUUAAUAAAAUUCGGGACCAGCCCACCACCA